GUGGGGUAACCUUUUGGAGCCAGCCGCCUAAGGUGGGACAGAUGAUUGGGGUGAAGUCGUAACAAGGUAGCCGUAUCGGAAGGUGCGGCUGGAUCACCUCCUUU
rnacentral:rRNA from 1 species